rnacentral:tRNA from 1 species
AAUUAGAAAGCGAAAAAUUGCAUUUAGUUUCGACCUAAACUUUGACUAUUAGUCUCUAAUUA